rnacentral:rRNA from 1 species
UACGUAGGUGGCAAGCGUUAUCCGGAUUUAUUGGGCGUAAAGGGAACGCAGGCGGUCUUUUAAGUCUGAUGUGAAAGCCUUCGGCUUAACCGGAGUAGUGCAUUGGAAACUGGGAAACUUGAGUGCAGAAGAGGAGAGUGGAACUCCAUGUGUAGCGGUGAAAUGCGUAGAUAUAUGGAAGAACACCAGUGGCGAAAGCGGCUCUCUGGUCUGUAACUGACGCUGAGGUUCGAAAGCGUGGGUAGCAAACAGG